rnacentral:rRNA from 1 species
CCAAGGGUUCCUGUCCAACGUUAAUCGGGGCAGGGUGAGUCGACCCCUAAGGCGAGGCCGAAAGGCGUAGUCGAUGGGAAACAGGUUAAUAUUCCUGUACUUGGUGUUACUGCGAAGGGGGGACGGAGAAGGCUAUGUUGGCCGGGCGACGGUUGUCCCGGUUUAAGCGUGUAGGCUGGUUUUCCAGGCAAAUCCGGAAAAUCAAGGCUGAGGCGUGAUGACGAGGCACUACGGU